rnacentral:rRNA from 1 species
UACGACGGGGGCUAGCGUUGCUCGGAAUCACUGGGCGUAAAGCGCACGUAGGCGGGUUCUUAAGUCGGUGGUGAAAUCCUGGAGCUCAACUCCAGAACUGCCUCCGAUACUGAGAGCCUCGAGUCCGGGAGAGGUGAGUGGAACUGCGAGUGUAGAGGUGAAAUUCGUAGAUAUCUGGAGGAACACCGGUGGCGAAGGCGGCAUCCUGGACCGGCAUUGACGCUGAGGCGCGAAAGCCAGGGGAGCAAACGGG